rnacentral:piRNA from 1 species
GAUUGCGAGCCACCAUGGGGGU